rnacentral:rRNA from 1 species
UCCGUGCCCAGCAGCCGCGGUAAUACGGAGGGUGCGAGCGUUACUCGGAAUCACUGGGCGUAAAGGGCGCGUAGGCGGAUUAUCAAGUCUCUUGUGAAAUCUAAUGGCUUAACCAUUAAACUGCUUGGGAAACUGAUAGUCUAGAGUGAGGGAGAGGCAGAUGGAAUUGGUGGUGUAGGGGUAAAAUCCGUAGAUAUCACCAAGAAUACCCAUUGCGAAGGCGAUCUGCUGGAACUCAACUGACGCUAAGGCGCGAAAGCGUGGGGAGCAAACAGGAUUAGAUACCCUGGUAGUCCACGCCCUAAACGAUGUACACUAGUUGUUGGGGUGCUAGUCAUCUCAGUAAUGCAGCUAACGCAUUAAGUGUACCGCCUGGGGAGUACGGUCGCAAGAUUAAAACUCAAAGGAAUAGACGGGGACCCGCACAAGCGGUGGAGCAUGUGGUUUAAUUCGAAGAUACGCGAAGAACCUUACCUGGGCUUGAUAUCCUAAGAACCUUUUAGAGAUAAGAGGGUGCUAGCUUGCUAGAACUUAGAGACAGGUGCUGCACGGCUGUCGUCAGCUCGUGUCGUGAGAUGUUGGGUUAAGUCCCGCAACGAGCGCAACCCACGUAUUUAGUUGCUAACGGUUCGGCCGAGCACUCUAAAUAGACUGCCUUCGUAAGGAGGAGGAAGGUGUGGACGACGUCAAGUCAUCAUGGCCCUUAUGCCCAGGGCGACACACGUGCUACAAUGGCAUAUACAAUGAGACGCAAUACCGCGAGGUGGAGCAAAUCUAUAAAAUAUGUCCCAGUUCGGAUUGUUCUCUGCAACUCGAGAGCAUGAAGCCGGAAUCGCUAGUAAUCGUAGAUCAGCCAUGCUACGGUGAAUACGUUCCCGGGUCUUGUACUCACCGCCCGUCACACCAUGGGAGUUGAUUUCACUCGAAGCCGGAAUACUAAACUAGUACCGUCCACAUGAUAC